UACGUAGGGUGCAAGCGUUGUCCGGAAUUAUUGGGCGUAAAGAGCUCGUAGGCGGUCUGUCACGUCGGCUGUGAAAUCCCGAGGCUCAACCUCGGGUCUGCAGUCGAUACGGGCAAACUAGAGUAUUGCAGGGGAGACUGGAAUUCCUGGUGUAGCGGUGAAAUGCGUAGAUAUCUGGAGGAACACCGGUGGCGAAGGCGACAUCCUGGACCGGUAUUGACGCUGAGGCGCGAAAGCCAGGGGAGCAAACGGG
rnacentral:rRNA from 1 species